rnacentral:rRNA from 1 species
AAUCGAGCGGACAGAUGGGAGCUUGCUCCCUGAUGUUAGCGGCGGACGGGUGAGUAACACGUGGGUAACCUGCCUGUAAGACUGGGAUAACUCCGGGAAACCGGGGCUAAUACCGGAUGCUUGAUUGAACCGCAUGGUUCAAUUAUAAAAGGUGGCUU